rnacentral:lncRNA from 1 species
UGAAAGUCAGGUCGGAUUAAGCCAUAGUACGGGAAAAACUAUGCUACCUGUGAGCCCCGUCCAAGGACGUAAAAAGAAGUCAGGCCAUCACAAAAAUGCCACAGCUUGAGCAAACUGUGCAGCCUGUAGCUCCACCUGAGGAGGUGUAAAAAACCCGGGAGGCCACAAACCAUGGAAGCUGUACGCAUGGCGUAGUGGACUAGCGGUUAGAGGAGACCCCUCCCUUACAAAUCGCAGCAACAACGGGGGCCCAAGGUGAGAUGAGGCUGUAGUCUCACUGGAAGGACUAGAGGUUAGAGGAGACCCCCCCAAAACAAAAAACAGCAUAUUGACGCUGGGAAAGACCAGAGAUCCUGCUGUCUCCUCAGCAUCAUUCCAGGCACAGAACGCCAGAAAAUGGAAUGGUGCUGUUGAAUCAACAGGUUCU